CCACCCCAACCGGAAUUCUGUAACCAGUUGAGGAAUUCUGCAAUUAUUCACAAAAUGUGCUGAAAUUUCACCUCAAGAAACGUAAUCUUGCUAUAUAUGGCAAGGUAAGGGUGAACCUGAAGGGUGGAUGUGUUUCCAUUUUUUAAUGUUUUACGCAUAGCCAUCUGACCACUUUUUAUUGGGUGACAUAUCAUAUGAGCACUUUCGUGUAGGCUUGGAAAAACUAUAGCCAGAGGUAAGGCUGGAAAAUGCCAUAAGAAUUAAGGGUGCUGAAAAUGGAUGCUAGAGAGUCCAAAAGGAGAGAUGGCAUACAGCUGUAGGUUUGAGAUGGGAGAAAAUAUAUGUGAAUAUUUAUACACAAAAGCCGUUGGGGAGGGCUGAGUCUUGCCUCGAGUAUCUGUGCAGACGCCUAAAGGAGCCUGUUUGUGUGCUGUGUGGCCACGUUCUGCUGUGACUGGAUCUUGUCUUCUGCCUGGCUCCUCGAUUUCAUUCCGGCUGGAUUUGGGGACAACACUGCUUGGCGCAGACAGAUCAAAUGACACUUCAAAGAAGCAUAAAAUGAACAGACUAUUCAAACAAAGGUAAUUUACAUUUUUUUAUUUGAUAAAAUCUGACAGAUGUACAAAACGGAAAUAGAAUAUUG
rnacentral:lncRNA from 1 species